rnacentral:rRNA from 1 species
ACCCUCGGGGCGCAGCAGUGAGGAAUAUUGGUCAAUGGGCUUACGCCUGAACCAGCCAAGUCGCGUGAGGGAAGACUGCCCUAUGGGUUGUAAACCUCUUUUGUCAGGGAGCAACGCCGGCUACGUGUAGCCGGACUGAGAGUACCUGAAGAAAAAGCAUCGGCUAACUCCGUGCCAGCAGCCGCGGUAAUACGUAGGUGACAAGCGUUGUCCGGAUUUACUGGGUGUAAAGGGCGCGUAGGCGGACUGUCAAGUCAGUCGUGAAGUACCGGGGCUUAACCCCGGGGCUGCGAUUGAAACUGACA